GAUGAACGCUAGCUACAGGCUUAACACAUGCAAGUCGAGGGGCAGCGCAGUGUAGCAAUACAUGGGCGGCGACCGGCGCACGGGUGCGUAACGCGUAUCCAACCUUCCCGUUACUCAGGGAUAGCCUUCCGAAAGGGAGAUUAAUACCUGAUGGUGUUGAAAUUCCGCAUGUUAUUUCAACUAAAGAUUUAUCGGUAACGGAUGGGGAUGCGUGACAUUAGAUAGUAGGCGGGGUAACGGCCCACCUAGUCUACGAUGUCUAGGGGUUCUGAGAGGAAGGUCCCCCACACUGGAACUGAGACACGGUCCAGACUCCUACGGGAGGCAGCAGUGAGGAAUAUUGGGCAAUGGGGGAAACCCUGACCCAGCAACGCCGCGUGAAGGAAGAAGGCUUUCGGGUUGUAAACUUCUUUUAGCAGGGACGAAGAACGUGACGGUACCUGCAGAAAAAGCAACGGCUAACUACGUG
rnacentral:rRNA from 1 species